CUGAGCCCGCCGGGCGGCUGGAAGCGCCGCGCAGGCGCGCGUGUUGCGGUGACGGAGGACGCGGGACGCAGGUCCUAAGCUCCCCGCGGUGCUCCCAACAGCCUCUCCCAUCACUUCCUCUGGGAAUCUGCUCACCCAGGAGACCCCCGACUCCUCCAUCCCCUGUGCCACCCUACCCAGCUCCCUGGAGGCCUUGGGCAGGAAGGAGGAGGGGAAGGUCGCAGGUAGGAAGCUGAAGCCCUACACCGUCCUUUCGAAGAUGCAGCUAUGUGUGCUCAGAGACCGCUUCCAGAGGCAGCAGUACCUCAACCUGCAGCACAUACAGG
rnacentral:lncRNA from 1 species